rnacentral:rRNA from 1 species
GAAAUUGAACUCGCUGUGAAGAUGCAGUGUACCCGCGGCAAGACGGAAAGACCCCGUGAACCUUUACUAUAGCUUGACACUGAACAUUGAGCCUUGAUGUGUAGGAUAGGUGGGAGGCUUUGAAGCGUGGACGCCAGUCUGCGUGGAGCCGACCUUGAAAUACCACCCUUUAAUGUUUGAUGUUCUAACGUGGAUCCGUAAUCCGGGUUGCGGACAGUGUCUGGUGGGUAGUUUGACUGGGGCGGUCUCCUCCUAAAGAGUAACGGAGGAGCACGAAGGUUGGCUAAUCCUGGUCGGACAUCAGGAGGUUAGUGCAAUGGCAUAAGCCAGCUUGACUGCGAGCGUGACGGCGCGAGCAGGUGCGAAAGCAGGUCAUAGUGAUCCGGUGGUUCUGAAUGGAAGGGCCAUCGCUCAACGGAUAAAAGGUACUCCGGGGAUAACAGGCUGAUACCGCCCAAGAGUUCAUAUCGACGGCGGUGUUUGGCACCUCGAUGUCGGCUCAUCACAUCCUGGGGCUGAAGUAGGUCCCAAGGGUAUGGCUGUUCGCCAUUUAAAGUGGUACGCGAGCUGGGUUUAGAACGUCGUGAGACAGUUCGGUCCCUAUCUGCCGUGGGCGCUGGAGAACUGAGGGGGGCUGCUCCUAGUACGAGAGGACCGGAGUGGACGCAUCACUGGUGUUCGGGUUGUCAUGCCAAUGGCACUGCCCGGUAGCUAAAUGCGGAAGAGAUAAGUGCUGAAAGCAUCUAAGCACGAAACUUGCCCCGAG